rnacentral:rRNA from 1 species
CGGAGGAUCCAAGUCGUUAUCCGGAUUUAUUGGGUUUAAAGGGUGCGUAGGCGGCUUAUUAAGUCAGGGGUGAAAGACGGUGGCUCAACCAUCGCAGUGCCCUUGAUACUGAUGAGCUUGAAUACACUAGAGGUAGGCGGAAUGUGACAAGUAGCGGUGAAAUGCAUAGAUAUGUCACAGAACACCGAUUGCGUAAGGCAGCUUACUAUGGUGUUAUUGACGCUGAGGCACGAAAGCGUGGGGAUCAAACAGGAUUAGAUACCCUGGUAGUCCACGCCCUAAACGAUGAAUACUCGCUGUUAGCGAUAUACAGUUAGCGGCUAAGCGAAAGCGUUAAGUAUUCCACCUGGGGAGUACGCCCGCAAGGGUG